CUCUCUCUCUCUCUCUCUCUCUCUCUCUCUCUCUCUCUCUCACUCUCUCUCUCUCUCUCCCAUCUAUCAUCUAUCUAUCUAUCUAUCUAUCUAUCUAUCUAUCUAUCUAUCUAUCUAUCUAUCUAUCUAUCUAUCAUUUCCCUCCUACUUCUGAGACAUGGCCAGUUUUCUUCUCUCCCUGCUGUUAAAGGACUUGGCAGGUGAGGGGAGCGUGUCCCAUUUAUUUCUGAGUGAGAUGGUGAACAAUCAGUAUGUUAUUCUGAAGAGAAAAAAAUUCUCCAGGAUGAAUUGGGAAGAAAUCUGGUCUCCAAGCUCAGAUUCCUUACUGUACAGAAGCCGUGUAUAUACGUAGCCUGUUUCUGAAGGGUACAGGAAGGGGGAACAGCUGUCUUCCCUUCUCUGUUUACUUACCCAGGAAUCAGUCUAUUCCCUGAGUCCCUUUGCCAUAACGACAUAGGAGAGAAACACUAGUAAGCAUUUCCCACUUCUUCAUAGAACAAGACAGUGAGCAUCGCUCCUUCCCACGUUUACUUGUUUGUGUUCCUUGAACAUCAUUUGUGCAUAUUCUGCCCUCAAUGAGGACCAAAUAAAGAUGAUUUUUGUGCUUAGCAGUUUAAGGUAUGUGGCUGCAUAUGCAAAACCCUUUUCCAUUCCAGUCAUUACUUUGAACGCCUCCCUUCCUCAUUUUGUGUGUACAGUGCUGUGUACGCUGAUCAGUGUUGGGUUUUUGUUUUGUUUUGUUUUCCUUCAGUUAUGGAAGUCCCGAUAGGCACCCAGAGUUCUAUUUAUCUAGCUGUACAGACUUCUUCAGAGGUUUAAUGUGCUGCUUCCGAUGUGCCACUUGCGGUAGUGGAUCAUGUGGAGUGAAAGGCAAAUCUUCCUGCUUAAUGUAUAAACUCACCAUGGGAAGCACUGCUGUUUCCAAUAAAUAUUGCUGAAGACGAAAC
rnacentral:lncRNA from 1 species